GGCGGACGGGUGAGUAAUACAUAGGAAUCUGCCCAGUAGCGGGGGACAACUCGGGGAAACUCGGGCUAAUACCGCAUACACCCUACGGGGAAAAGAGGGCCUCUCCUUGGAAGCUUUCGCUAUUAGAUGAGCCCGCGUUAGAUUAGCUUGUUGGUGGGGUAAUGGCCUACCAAGGCGACGAUCUAUAGCUGGUCUGAGAGGACGAUCAGCCACAUUGGGACUGAGACACGGCCCAAACUCCUACGGGAGGCAGCAGUGGGGAAUAUUGGACAAUGGGCGAAAGCCUGAUCCAGCAAUGCCGCGUGUGUGAAGAAGGCCUGCGGGUUGUAAGGCACUUUCAGUGGGGAAGAAAUGCUCAAGGUCAAUACCCUUGAGAGCUGACGUUACCCACAGAAGAAGCACCGGCUAACUCUGUGCCAGCCGCGGCGG
rnacentral:rRNA from 1 species